rnacentral:tRNA from 1 species
UUAAAGCAAAUUAUGCAUUUGAAUGUUAAUCAAAAGAAAGAUUAUCUUUAAUCUAA